AGUGUCCUCUCCACAGUCGCUGAGCACACAGGUCCUUACCAUGGAGUGGAGCUUGAUCAUUCUCUUCCUCAUGUCAAUAACUACAGGUGUACACUCCCAGGUACUGCUGCAGCAGUCUGGGCCUGAGCUUGUGAGGCCUGGGACCUCAGUGAAAUUGUCCUGCAGGUCCUCUGAUGGUAUCACUUAUAGCUAUAUUAACUGGAUGAAGCAUAGACCUGGUCAGGGCCUGGAGUGGAUUACGAGUAUUUUUCCUGCUUUUGGUGAAACUAACUACAAUCAGAAGUUCCAGGGCAAGGCCAGACUGACUGCAGACAAAUCCUCCAACACAGCCUACAUGGAGCUCAGAAGCCUGACUUCUGAAGACUCUGGGAUCUAUUACUGUGCAAGACACAGUGUUGCAACCACAUCCUGA